GUAAGUGGAGCGAUCCAUUCAGCAGGUGUGUACUAAUAGACCGAGGGCUUGACCA
rnacentral:rRNA from 1 species